CUUUACUGUAGCCUGGAAUUGGGUUCGGGCUUUGCUUGCGCAGGAUAGGUGGGAGGCGUUGAGAUAUUCCUUGUGGGGAAUGUGGAGCCAACGGUGAGAUACCACUCCGGUGAGGCUAGAAUUCUAACCCGAUGCCGUGAACCGGCUCGGGAACAGUUUCAGGCGGGCAGUUUGACUGGGGCGGUCGCCUCCUAAAAGGUAACGGAGGCGCGCAAAGGUUCUCUCAGGCUGGUUGGAAAUCAGCCGUAGAGUGUAAAGGCAUAAGAGAGCUUGACUGUGAGACCAACAAGUCGAACAGGGUGGAAACACGGCCUUAGUGAUCCGACGGUGCCGUGUGGAAGGGCCGUCGCUCAACGAAUAAAAGUUA
rnacentral:rRNA from 1 species